rnacentral:rRNA from 1 species
GACGAACGCUGGCGGCGUGCUUAACACAUGCAAGUCGAACGAUGAACCCGGAGCUUGCUCCGGUGGAUUAGUGGCGAACGGGUGAGUAACACGUGAGUAACCUGCCCUUGACUCUGGGAUAACUGCGGGAAACUGUAGCUAAUACCGGAUACGACCCUCGGCGGCAUCGCCAGGGGGUGGAAAGCAGGGGAUCGCAAGACCUUGCGCUAUACGAGCGGCCGAUGUCAGAUUAGCUAGUUGGUAGGGUAAAGGCCUACCAAGGCGACGAUCUGUAGCGGGUCUGAGAGGAUGAUCCGCCACACUGGGACUGAGACACGGCCCAGACUCCUACGGGAGGCAGCAGUGGGGAAUUUUGGACAAUGGGCGAAAGCCUGAUCCAGCCAUGCCGCGUGAGUGAAGAAGGCCUC